rnacentral:rRNA from 1 species
GAUGAACGCUGGCGGCGUGCCUAAUACAUGCAAGUCGAGCGAACAGACGAGGAGCUUGCUCCUCUGACGUUAGCGGCGGACGGGUGAGUAACACGUGGAUAACCUACCUAUAAGACUGGGAUAACUUCGGGAAACCGGAGCUAAUACCGGAUAAUAUAUUGAACCGCAUGGUUCAAUAGUGAAAGACGGUUUUGCUGUCACUUAUAGAUGGAUCCGCGCCGCAUUAGCUAGUUGGUAAGGUAACGGCCUACCAAGGGAACGAUGCGUAGCCGACCUGAGAGGGUUAUCGGCCAAACUGGAACUUAGACACGGUCCCGACUCCUACGGGAGGAAGCAGUAGGGAAUCUUCCGCAAUGGGCGAAAUCCUGACGGAGCAACGCCGCGUGAGUGAUGAAGGUAUUCGGAUCGUAAAACUCUGUUAUUAGGGAAGAACAAAUGUGUAAGUAACUAUGCACGUCUUGACGGUACCUAAUCAGAAAGCCACGGCUAACUACGUGCCAGCCGCCGCAGUAA